UGUAUGUAGCUCAACGGUAGAGAUCUUGCCUAGCAUGUGUGAGGCUCUGGGUUCAAUCCCCAGCACUGCAA
rnacentral:tRNA from 1 species